AGGCCAAAAAAAAUAUAUGGGUUUCCGGUUUCCCGACCCUACCUAGCUUUUGGACGUCGAAAUCCCGACCCUAAACUUUUUUAUUGGAUCAUGCUUGUAAGUGUUUCCACUUAGAGGAAAAAGUUUGUGGAAAAUUGAAAUUUGAGGCAAUAUUAGGGAAAUUUAUCUUUGGAUGUGGAAGCACUGACUAAACAAAAUGGCGUCCGCUUAUUCGGAAAAUUAAAAAAAAAGUUUAAAAAAAAAGUUAAAACCGACCUACCCUACCUAAGAUUUUACAAGAGGAAACCGGAAACCCACAUAUUUUUUUUUGGCCUCAUAAGAAAUUUCUUGUUGAUCAUUGAUCGGUGUAAACUAAAAUAUUACUAGUCACAUACACAUGUCGGCA